rnacentral:rRNA from 1 species
GAUGAACGCUGGCGGCGUGCCUAAUACAUGCAAGUCGAGCGAACAGACGAGGAGCUUGCUCCUUUGACGUUAGCGGCGGACGGGUGAGUAACACGUAGGUAACCUACCUAUAAGACUGGGAUAACUUCGGGAAACCGGAGCUAAUACCGGAUAAUAUUUCGAACCGCAUGGUUCGAUAGUGAAAGAUGGCUUUGCUAUCACUUAUAGAUGGACCUGCGCCGUAUUAGCUAGUAGGUAAGGUAACGGCUUACCAAGGCAACGAUACGUAGCCGACCUGAGAGGGUGAUCGGCCACACUGGAACUGAGACACGGUCCAGACUCCUACGGGAGGCAGCAGUAGGGAAUCUUCCGCAAUGGGCGAAAGCCUGACGGAGCAACGCCGCGUGAGUGAUGAAGGUCUUCGGAUCGUAAAACUCUGUUAUUAGGGAAGAACAAACGUGUAAGUAACUGUGCACGUCUUGACGGUACCUAAUCAGAAAGCCACGGCUAACUACGUG